ACAACUGGCAGCUGCACAACACCUUGGCUAUCAAGAAUAAACUGCUUCAAUUGCCAACAGAGUUUGGAGAAAUCUGCAGAAUAUUAGGAUUGUCUGUUGCCUCCAAAGCAGUGUGACUGUCUCUGUAACUUGGCCAAUCAGAAAAGCAAAGCAAGAAAAACCUGAAAAAAUUUACAUGAACUGAUGCUGAGUAAAACAAGCAGAACCAGGAAUGCAUUGUACAUAGCAACAGCAAGAAUGUGAGAUAAUCAACUAUGAAAGACUUGGUUCUUCUCAGUGCUUCAAUGAUUCAAAACAACCCCAAU
rnacentral:lncRNA from 1 species